rnacentral:rRNA from 1 species
CAGUCGAGCGAACAGAUGAGAAGCUUGCUUCUCUGAUGUUAGCGGCGGACGGGUGAGUAACACGUGGGUAACCUACCUAUAAGACUGGGAUAACUCCGGGAAACCGGGGCUAAUACCGGAUAAUAUUUUGAACCGCAUGGUUCAAUAGUGAAAGACGGUUUCGGCUGUCACUUAUAGAUGGACCCGCGCCGUAUUAGCUAGUUGGUAAGGUAACGGCUUACCAAGGCGACGAUACGUAGCCGACCUGAGAGGGUGAUCGGCCACACUGGAACUGAGACACGGUCCAGACUCCUACGGGAGGCAGCAGUAGGGAAUCUUCCGCAAUGGGCGAAAGCCUGACGGAGCAACGCCGCGUGAGUGAUGAAGGUCUUCGGAUCGUAAAACUCUGUUGUUAGGGAAGAACAAAUUUGUUAGUAACUGAACAAGUCUUGACGGUACCUAACCAGAAAGCCACGGCUAACUACGUGCCAGCAGCCGCGGUAAUACGUAGGUGGCAAGCGUUAUCCGGAAUUAUUGGGCGUAAAGCGCGCGUAGGCGGUUUCUUAAGUCUGAUGUGAAAGCCCACGGCUCAACCGUGGAGGGUCAUUGGAAACUGGGAAACUUGAGUGCAGAAGAGGAGAGUGGAAUUCCAUGUGUAGCGGUGAAAUGCGCAGAGAUAUGGAGGAACACCAGUGGCGAAGGCGGCUCUCUGGUCUGUAACUGACGCUGAUGUGCGAAAGCGUGGGGAUCAAACAGGAUUAGAUACCCUGGUAGUCCACGCCGUAAACGAUGAGUGCUAAGUGUUAGGGGGUUUCCGCCCCUUAGUGCUGCAGCUAACGCAUUAAGCACUCCGCCUGGGGAGUACGACCGCAAGGUUGAAACUCAAAGGAAUUGACGGGGACCCGCACAAGCGGUGGAGCAUGUGGUUUAAUUCGAAGCAACGCGAAGAACCUUACCAAAUCUUGACAUCCUUUGACCGCUCUAGAGAUAGAGUCUUCCCCUUCGGGGGACAAAGUGACAGGUGGUGCAUGGUUGUCGUCAGCUCGUGUCGUGAGAUGUUGGGUUAAGUCCCGCAACGAGCGCAACCCUUAAGCUUAGUUGCCAUCAUUAAGUUGGGCACUCUAGGUUGACUGCCGGUGACAAACCGGAGGAAGGUGGGGAUGACGUCAAAUCAUCAUGCCCCUUAUGAUUUGGGCUACACACGUGCUACAAUGGAUAAUACAAAGGGCAGCGAAUCCGCGAGGCCAAGCAAAUCCCAUAAAAUUAUUCUCAGUUCGGAUUGUAGUCUGCAACUCGACUACAUGAAGCUGGAAUCGCUAGUAAUCGUAGAUCAGCAUGCUACGGUGAAUACGUUCCCGGGUCUUGUACACACCGCCCGUCACACCACGAGAGUUUGUAACACCCGAAGCCGGUGGAGUAACC